UUGAAUUUGUUUUUUCAUACUUACUCUUUAUGUGUGUACUUGAAUUUUGUGUUUUUUUUAAUAAUAAAACUGCAUUAUAGGCUGAGAUGGAGAAUAUUGAAAUGCAACAAAAAGAAGACGGAAAAGAGAUGAUUGAUGCAAUUUCUUCUUUCAUGGGAUCAGAACAUCCAGGACGUUUGAGAUUAUAUGGAAGAGGGGUUACAAAAACUACUUUGAAAGAGAAAGUGGGAAUUUUGAAGACCUCUCAAAUGCAACAAAUGACCUAAUGAAAAAAAUGGAAGAGAGAAUGAUGAAAAUGGAGGAAAAAAUUGAGGAAUAGAAAGAACAAUAUGACCAACAAAAGAUCAUGAUGCAAUAAGAAAUUGUAGAUGAUGUCAUAAAAAAACUUCAGCUUUCAGGCCUACCAAUUGAUGCUUAUGUUAUAGCAACAUUACUUGAUGUUUCGUCAACAGAAAAUAAAUAUUUGAUCAGUCCAUCGUUCAUCUACCUGUAGCAAAAAUCAAGGUGAACAAAAUGAUGAGCAAAGCGGGGAUGAAAGCAGCGAAGAGCUUACUUAAAAAGAAUUGGUUUCUACAAAUAUUCUAGAACUAUUUUACUUUUUGGAAUAAUUUUGUGAACUUAAAUGAGUCCAACUCUUGAACAUUCUAGCAGUCUUUUUACUUUUUGUCCUAAUUUUGUGAAGUUGAAUGAAUGUAAACUCUUAAACAUUCAAGGACUAUUUUUA